AAACUUGUGUGAGUUGCACCGGUUUACCUCCGAUUCCUGGUCCUAGUCCUAUGGAACAAUUUACAAUAAGGAGAAGUCAAAGCCCCACCAACAUUAUUAGACCAAGUAUUCUUGGACCAUUAAAAAGAAAAGGUGAAAUGGUGUUUGAAGACCAGCCAAAGAGAUUUUUCCAAGGCCCAGCGAACAUGCUUUCUUCUGAUACUACCCAACAGUCUGAUAUGAAUGUCUGGGAGAAGAGCUGGCCUGAUCAGAUAUAGAAUCUUCUCAGUCUGCUCAAGGCAUUACCAAUCAACUAGCUCCAUCUAAAACAUCAGAUUAAAAGAAAAGAAGGGGCACAUAACAUUCUCUGACUUUUUUUUCCCCAAUGAAGAAAUUAAGGUGGAAAAGGAAAAGUUUGUUCCUAAGUCUGUAGUUCUAAUUCUCAAGAGUCAAGGAGUUUUGGUGUGUGGGGGUUGGGAGAUGGGGGUUGGGUUCUCUCAAAAGAAAAAUUGGAUAAAUGAAGGGUUUUGUAGGGCACUUAAAA